rnacentral:rRNA from 1 species
AGACCGAUGUGAAAUCCCCGAGCUUAACUUGGGAAUUGCAUUGGUGACUGCACGGCUAGAGUGUGUCAGAGGGGGGUAGAAUUCCACGUGUAGCAGUGAAAUGCGUAGAGAUGUGGAGGAAUACCGAUGGCGAAGGCAGCCCCCUGGGAUAACACUGACGCUCAUGCACGAAAGCGUGGGGAGCAAACAGGAUUAGAUACCCUGGUAGUCCACGCCCUAAACGAUGUCAACUAGUUGUUGGGGAUUCAUUUCCUUAGUAACGUAGCUAACGCGUGAAGUUGACCGCCUGGGGAGUACGGUCGCAAGAUUAAAACUCAAAGGAAUUGACGGGGACCCGCACAAGCGGUGGAUGAUGUGGAUUAAUUCGAUGCAACGCGAAAAACCUUACCUACCCUUGACAUGCCACUAACGAAGCAGAGAUGCAUUAGGUGCUCGAAAGAGAAAGUGGACACAGGUGCUGCAUGGCUGCCGUCAGCUCGUGUCGUGAGAUGUUGGGUUAAGUCCCGCAACGAGCGCAACCCUUGUCUCUAGUUGCUACGAAAGGGCACUCUAGAGAGACUGCCGGUGACAAACCGGAGGAAGGUGGGGAUGACGUCAAGUCCUCAUGGCCCUUAUGGGUAGGGCUUCACACGUCAUACAAUGGUGCAUACAGAGGGUUGCCAAGCCGCGAGGUGGAGCUAAUCCCAGAAAAUGCAUCGUAGUCCGGAUCGUAGUCUGCAACUCGAC